UUCAACAACGGAUCUCUUGGUUCUGGCAUCGAUGAAGAACGCAGCGAAAUGCGAUAAGUAAUGUGAAUUGCAGAAUUCAGUGAAUCAUCGAAUCUUUGAACGCACAUUGCGCCCGCCAGUAUUCUGGCGGGCAUGCCUGUCCGAGCGUCAU
rnacentral:rRNA from 1 species